rnacentral:tmRNA from 1 species
GGGGGUGUAAAGGUAUCGACGGGAUUCAUCGCGGUACCAGUUGGCACGCAGAGGGUCCGCAGGCCUCUUUAAAAAGCGGAGAACAGUAAAUGCAAAUUAUGCAAAUGCUGAUGACUACGCCUAUGCGCUUGCUGCCUAAGGUAUAGUCAACAAAGGCUCGCUGCAUUGUCUUCGGGCCGGUUCCUGGUUUGAGUACUCACGGCUUUCCAGGGGCCUAAUUUAGUGAGUUAGUCUACGGUUGCCGCUUCGACCUCCGCGGAUGAAAUGCUUCGAGGCUGGCCUAGCUUGAUCGAGUGGACUAGAGCUCGUUAGGUAAGAUCAAAGUGCCCACUAAGCGUGUAGAUGACUGGCGCCAAAGCUUCUCGGACCCGGGUUCGAUUCCCGGCACCUCCA